AUUGAACGCUGGCGGCAUGCUUUACACAUGCAAGUCGAACGGCAGCGCGGGCUUCGGCCUGGCGGCGAGUGGCGAACGGGUGAGUAAUGCAUCGGAACGUGCCCAGUAGUGGGGGAUAGCCCGGCGAAAGCCGGAUUAAUACCGCAUACGACCUGAGGGUGAAAGCGGGGGACCGAAAGGCCUCGCGCUAUUGGAGCGGCCGAUGUCGGAUUAGCUAGUUGGUGGGGUAAAGGCUUACCAAGGCGACGAUCCGUAGCUGGUCUGAGAGGACGACCAGCCACACUGGGACUGAGACACGGCCCAGACUCCUACGGGAGGCAGCAGUGGGGAAUUUUGGACAAUGGGGGCAACCCUGAUCCAGCCAUGCCGCGUGAGGGAAGAAGGCCUUCGGGUUGUAAAACGCUUUUGUUCGGGAAGAAAUCCUCUGGGCUAAUACCCCGGGGGGAUGACGGUACCGGAAGAAUAAGCACCGGCUAACUACGUG
rnacentral:rRNA from 1 species